UGAUUCUGAGGACUGUUAAACCCAGGGCCAAGGAAAUUACCUUCUUUCCGUUGUCUGAUUUUUCUACAAUUGAUUGGGGAUGGAACAAGAUGGUACAUAAAUAAGGUCUUCAUUUACUUUCUUCAAAACAUUCUCCAAAGCAGUCGCAUGAUUUAUAUGCUGGAAGCUGCCAUCAACAUGACAUGGAAAAUUGCACCAGGCUGGUAGCCUGAAGUCAAUUUCAGAAUAGUUGAGGAUGCUACUGGCUGAUAUAUUUGCAGGGUACACAAAAUUCACUACAGAAGCUCCCAGGUAUGGCCUGCAUCUCUGUUACUCCACUUGAAGCUGUGCCACUUCACAGAGAAACAGCCCAAAGACAGACAUUUCGAAAGUGAGAACUUGACUGUAACACAGUGAAGAGAGCAUAUAUCUUGAGAGAAAACCUGCC